UGUGGUUACAGAGAUCAUCCAUUCUAUACAUGAAGUCCUCCAGGACCUAAGUGGUGGAGAGAAGAGAGGAAAAAAAGCGAAUAAAGAGGAGACCAACUAAUAGAAAUCCUGGAAAAAUUGUGUUUUGAUUUCCGAAGCUUCAAAUGUCAGGAGAGGAUGUUGUUCAAAAAUGAUCUGCCAAAGUGAUACUUCUGUAGAAGAUCCAAGGUGGACUGUUGUAGAUGUACAGAAACACUGUAUUACAGCCUAUCUUUUUCAUCACUAAAACAUUAAUUGGUA